rnacentral:rRNA from 1 species
AUUGAACGCUGGCGGCAGGCCUAACACAUGCAAGUCGAGCGGAUGAAGGGAGCUUGCUCCUGGAUUCAGCGGCGGACGGGUGAGUAAUGCCUAGGAAUCUGCCUGGUAGUGGGGGAUAACGUCCGGAAACGGGCGCUAAUACCGCAUACGUCCUGAGGGAGAAAGAGGGGGAUCUUCGGACCUCACGCUAUCAGAUGAGCCUAGGUCGGAUUAGCUAGUUGGUGGGGUAAAGGCCUACCAAGGCGACGAUCCGUAACUGGUCUGAGAGGAUGAUCAGUCACACUGGAACUGAGACACGGUCCAGACUCCUACGGGAGGCAGCAGUGGGGAAUAUUGGACAAUGGGCGAAAGCCUGAUCCAGCCAUGCCGCGUGUGUGAAGAAGGUCUUCGGAUUGUAAUGCACUUUAAGUUGGGAGGAAGGGCAGUAAGUUAAUACCUUGCUGUUUUGACGUUACCAACAGAAUGAGCACCGGCUAACUUCGUG